rfam:Triticum aestivum genome assembly, contig: Triticum_aestivum_CS42_TGACv1_scaffold_471492_6AL
UAAGUACUCCCUCCGUUCCGAAUUACUUGUCGCAUGUAUGGAUGUAUCUAGAAAUACAUCUAGAUACAUCCAUACAUGCGACAAGUAAUUCGGAACGGAGGGAGUACAUA